rnacentral:tRNA from 1 species
GAUAUGGCUUAGUGGCACAAGUGCUUGCCUGGAAAGCACAAGGUCCUAAGUUCAACUCUCAGUAUC